rnacentral:rRNA from 1 species
CGAAAGCCUGACGGAGCAAUACCGCGUGGGGGACGAAGGCUCUUGGGUUGUAAACCCCUUUUCUCAGGGAAGAAAAAUGACGGUACCUGAGGAAUAAGCAUCGGCUAACUCCGUGCCAGCAGCCGCGGUAAUACGGAGGAUGCAAGCGUUAUCCGGAAUGAUUGGGCGUAAAGCGUCUGUAGGUGGUUUAGCAAGUCUGCCGUUAAAGGUCGGGGCUUAACUCCGAAAAGGCGGUGGAAACUGCUAGACUAGAGUGUGGUAGGGGUAGAGGGAAUUCCCGGUGUAGCGGUGAAAUGCGUAGAUAUCGGGAAGAACACCGGUGGCGAAGGCGCUCUACUGGGCCACAACUGACACUGAGGGACGAAAGCUA